GAUCGUGUUUCAAUAAAAUACAAUUUACUCUCAGUGGACAAGUUAGAUCACAGAAAUCAAAUGGUACCAUAUAUAGGAUAGUGAGUAAAGAAACAUUACAAUCGGAGUCCCUCGUGAGGAUUCGAACCCCACGCAGUCAGCUCAAAUGAGGCGAUCCCAGCUGGAUGAAGAGUUUCGCGCACUCCACCCAGUGCUUGUUUAUUUUCGCGUCCCGAGGAGAGGUGCAGUGCAGAUUGCCCAUACUUCGGUCUCACCCUCUGGUACCUCGGUGUAAGCUCGUAUCAAUUUUUUUUUCGUUUUUGUUUUUAUUUAUUUUAUUUCUUUUUGUUGAUACGAGCAAUGAGCCGUUAAAUAGGUCUCAAACCCGGAGGCCAGACCCAUUUCGGUUGUCGGCUGUAACCACCAGAGGAUUGUGUCUGUGCUCAAGCGGGGAUUAUAUUUAGCCUUUUAUCAAGCACCCUUGACAUUCAAAGUCCAAGGAAUACAAAACACUUUAGCCGAGUUGAAGAGAAUCUCCUUCUUAACUGAUGAAUGAGUAAAAACAGAAUUUACAGGACACAUUAAUGGCAACUGAAGCUUCUAGAGCUUAACUUGAGAGGGGUCACAGUAACUAAUUGUCUUUGUUAUCUCAAUCCUAAGUACUUCCAAGGAAAACUGCGCAGCACAAUAUCAGCGGGGUAGGAAAAAUAUCUGGGUCAACGUCUGUAAGGAUUCUAAGCUUUACUAGCUUGGCAGAAAAAUUAGUAUGGGUUAACAUUCGUGAGGAUUCAAACCUCAUUAAUCGGUUUUGCUGCUGAAUGCUGUUAUGGCAGAGCAGAGAAAGGUAUUUUGUGUAAACGUACAUGAGGAUCCAAACUUCAGACUUUCCAAAAUCGGUAUCUAAUGCUCUAUUAGUUGAGCUGAGAAAAAAAUAUUGGUCAACCUUUGCAAGAAAUUAUGUCUGAAACGUGUGAAAUGAAAGUUUCUGGUGGACUUUCAUGAGGAUUUCAAACCUUAGAUCCACCGAUUUUGCCGUCAAAUACUCUACCUGCCGACGUAUACAAAACUCGUGUAGUUAUUUUUCUUAUCUCACAAUAAGUUAUUGUCUUCUGUUUGCUUCUUGAGUGUGUGAUCAACAGGUUAUACAGAUGCAGUUAUUCUUUGGCUGGAAUCAAACGCCUGCGGCAAUUCAGCCAUUUAGAGUACCGAUCAUUAUGAGCUGCUUUGCUGUUCAGGUUAUACAGAUCCAGUCAUUGUUUUGCUGGAAUAAAACGCCUGAUAUAUUCAAGUCAGUGAUUUAGUGGACCUACUGUUCAGGUUCGAGCAGUGAGCCGUUAAACCGAGGUCUUACACGCGGAGGUCCAGAUUCAUUUUGGUUUUCGGUUGUAACCACCAAAGGACAGUGUCUGCAUUUCAGUGGGGGUUGUACUUGCUCGGGUUUUUUCCGAGACAUUUGACAUUUGAAGGCAAAUGAAUCUAAAACAAAAAAUAGCUGGCCGGUCUAAGAAUCUCAUGAAAAUUGAGAAGAGAAAUCUAAACUUCCAAGAAGAGGUGGUUCACCAUUCAAGAGCGGAAUUUGGAUGAAGUAUAAAACGACGUAGAUGGAAACAAACCUUGUCUAAUGAUGGUAAACUUUUUAGUACAGCUUCAGUUGAAGUUUGUGGAGUCUACAUGCUGAGUAUUCAUCAGAAAGGAGUUUAAAAGUUGUUUUCUCCAUGGUUGAAAUUUGUGGUGUUUCUCAACAAGGAAGCAGUUUAAAAGUUGCAGUCAUACAUCAUGUGUUUGUCAACAAAGAAGCAGUUUAAAGUUGUGGUGUCCAUGCAUCAUAUGUUUGUCACCUGGGAAGAAAUUAAAAAGUUGCGGUGCAUGUCAGUGCAUCAUGUGUUUGUCAACAAGGAA
rnacentral:lncRNA from 1 species